rnacentral:lncRNA from 1 species
GGGAGACCUAUUGUUUUUUCCUAAACUUCCAAGUGUUAUCUCUUUUUAUUCACAAAUCUGUUAGGUAUCAAAUUUCUUUGAGACACACAAAGCGGAUGCAGGUUAAUGCAGAAUUCCUCACCCACCCUACUCUAGAUGAGCAGUAACACACUAACACCAUGUCUUCAUAGGAACAACAACGACCACACCACAUCAUCUCGCUUCUAAGUUCUGAGAAACCUAGGCGUCAUCUAGGCCCUUUCGCACCUUUGGUAAGGGUGUGUUUCGGUGAUAAAUGGCAACCUUAUGCUUGUGGCUAACCCG